GGUGCAGUGGCUUAGUGGUUAGCUUCACACCUCCAGGGUUGGGGGUUCGAAUCCCACCUUUGCCC